rnacentral:rRNA from 1 species
GUCGAACGGCAGCGCGGGAGCAAUCCUGGCGGCGAGUGGCGAACGGGUGAGUAAUACAUCGGAACGUGCCCAAUCGUGGGGGAUAACGCAGCGAAAGCUGUGCUAAUACCGCAUACGAUCUACGGAUGAAAGCAGGGGAUCGCAAGACCUUGCGCGAAUGGAGCGGCCGAUGGCAGAUUAGGUAGUUGGUGAGGUAAAGGCUCACCAAGCCUUCGAUCUGUAGCUGGUCUGAGAGGACGACCAGCCACACUGGGACUGAGACACGGCCCAGACUCCUACGGGAGGCAGCAGUGGGGAAUUUUGGACAAUGGGCGAAAGCCUGAUCCAGCCAUGCCGCGUGCAGGAUGAAGGCCUUCGGGUUGUAAACUGCUUUUGUACGGAACGAAACGGCCUUUUCUAAUAAAGAGGGCUAAUGACGGUACCGUAAGAAUAAGCACCGGCUAACUACGUGCCAGCAGCCGCGGUAAUACGUAGGGUGCAAGCGUUAAUCGGAAUUACUGGGCGUAAAGCGUGCGCAGGCGGUAAUGUAAGACAGUUGUGAAAUCCCCGGGCUCAACCUGGGAACUGCAUCUGUGACUGCAUUGCUGGAGUACGGCAGAGGGGGAUGGAAUUCCGCGUGUAGCAGUGAAAUGCGUAGAUAUGCGGAGGAACACCGAUGGCGAAGGCAAUCCCCUGGGCCUGUACUGACGCUCAUGCACGAA